rnacentral:rRNA from 1 species
UACGAAGGGGGCUAGCGUUGCUCGGAAUUAUUGGGCGUAAAGCGCACGUAGGCGGCUUUGCAAGUCGGAUGUGAAAUCCCUCGGCUCAACCAAGGAAGUGCUUUCGAAACUGCUGAGCUUGAGUACUUAAGAGGAUCGCGGAAUUCCCGGUGUAGAGGUGAAAUUCGUAGAUAUCGGGAGGAACACCAGGUGGCGAAGGCGGCGAUCUGGGAAGAUACUGACGCUGAGGAGCGAAAGCGUGGGGAGCGAACAGG